UUUCUAUGGCAAAUUCUAAGGUCAUUUUCUUGUUGUGUUUUGAUGUUUUCCAUUGGCUGAAGAAUGCCCAAUCUGUACCACUCAAAAAGUAAUGAAGUGACAGUGUACCAUGACAAAAAAUAUGAGCCUGAAGAGGAGAUUUGGGAAGAUGCUGUUUAUAAGUCUUUGCUUUGCCAGAUCACCUGUGGUCGAGAUGUCUGCUAACAAGAUGCCUUGUUGGUCUGGGCGAGUUUUAAGUCUCUCACAGACAGUCCAGAAGGUCUGGAGUCCAUCUUAGCUUUUAUUGGUAAGGGACUGCACAAAAGGCUGUUUGACC